UCCAUCCUCUCUUUCAUUUUGGUACUGUGGUAAUUAACAAUACGUUGACAUUUUCAGAAUCUCAUUCCACUUCACUGUUCUCAGGCAAAGAGAGCCCAUUUCUUUCAAUUCUCUGUUACUUUUAAUCUUCUCCUUCAUCGCACUUUUAUGGCGGACCACUCUGACGACCCGCCUCUCAUCCCACCUUCUCCGAUCACUGAUCCCAACAAGAUCGACCUUGAGGCAGGCCCCGGCGAACAAAUCCAGUGCCGAAUUUGUCUUGAAACAGACGGUAGGGACUUUAUAGCUCCUUGUAAGUGCAAGGGCACAUCAAAGUACGUGCACUGGGAAUGUUUGGAUCAUUGGGGGUUUUGUGCGUAGGGGAUGGGGGUUUCUGGUGGUUGUCGGAGGCGAGGGAGGAGGUUGGUUCGUGGUCAGAUCUAAUUUUUUUUUCUGUCUUGAGAUCUGUGGUAACUGGUUACCUUCACGUUGUUUGUUUGUAUAUUUUAGGAGGUAACUGGUUACCUUCACAUUCUAAUGUGUGUAUAUUUCUGGGCUCUAUAUGGUAACUGGUUACCUAGGUUAUUAAAUCAUACUUACUCUUCUUCUUUUUUUCCUUCAAAUGUGAUGUUUUUUUUUUCAUUUCUAAUAUGAGUGACUCGUCAACCUCUUAUGAUAACUGGUUACCCCUCUUAUGGCAGUAAGUUACUAAUCGCACUGUAACUGGUUA